rnacentral:rRNA from 1 species
CAACGUGGGUAACCUGCCCAAGAGACUGGGAUAACACCUGGAAACAGAUGCUAAUACCGGAUAACAACACUAGACGCAUGUCUAGAGUUUAAAGAUGGUUCUGCUAUCACUCUUGGAUGGACCUGCGGUGCAUUAGCUAGUUGGUAAGGUAACGGCUUACCAAGGCAAUGAUGCAUAGCCGAGUUGAGAGACUGAUCGGCCACAUUGGGACUGAGACACGGCCCAAACUCCUACGGGAGGCAGCAG